rnacentral:rRNA from 1 species
GAUGAACGCUGGCGGCGUGCUUAACACAUGCCAGUCGAACGGAAAGGCCCAAGCUUGCUUGGGUACUCGAGUGGCGAACGGGUGAGUAACACGUGGGUGAUCUGCCCUGCACUUCGGGAUAAGCCUGGGAAACUGGGUCUAAUACCGGAUAGGACGAUGGUUUGGAUGCCAUUGUGGAAAGUUUUUUCGGUGUGGGAUGAGCUCGCGGCCUAUCAGCUUGUUGGUGGGGUAAUGGCCUACCAAGGCGUCGACGGGUAGCCGGCCUGAGAGGGUGUACGGCCACAUUGGGACUGAGAUAAGGCCCAGACGCCUACGGGAGGCAGCAGUGGGGAAUAUUGCACAAUGGGCGCAAGCCUGAUGCAGCGACGCCGCGUGGGGGAUGACGGCCUUCGGGUUGUAAACUCCUUUCGCUAGGGACGAAGCGUUUUUGUGACGGUACCUGGAGAAGAAGCACAGGCUAACUACGU